CAUUAAUGAAUCAACUUUUUGGUUAGGUUGUUGCUGGCUUCUUGGAGCAUGUGCACACCUUUCCUAAUAGUUUUUUUUUAAUACCCAUGUGCACCUUUGUAGGCUAAGAAAAAGCUAACUUUCAAGAGCUCUGGUAAAACCCAUCUCUUGGAUGUCUGGGGGGAACUGCUGUGUCAAAAACCAGCUGUCCCUGCGCAGUUCUUAGUCUAUGUCUUUCUCUACACCCCAUAUUGUAUGUGACAGAAUGUAGUUUAAUAGGCCUUGUGUGCCUUUAAAACUAAUACAACUUUCAACAAUGGAUCUCUUGGCUCUCGCAUCGAUGACGAACGCAGCGAAAUGCGAUAAGUAAUGUGAAUUGCAGAAUUCAGUGAAUCAUCGAAUCUUUGAACGCACCUUGCGCUCCUUGGUAUUCCGAGGAGCAUGCCUGUUUGAGUGUCAUUAAACUAUCAACCAUACAAAUUUUUGUUUGUAUGGAUUGGAUAUGGGACUUUUUGCUGGACGAAAAUGUCAGCUGUCCUGAAAUGUAUUAGCAAGGCUUGUUGUUGUUAGCCUCACGGUGUGAUAUAGAUAUAUUUAUACCAAUGAGUUUUAGCUCCAACAAAAUAAAGUCUAGCUUCCAACAGUCCUGUGUAGGACAAUGUUAAUGACUAUUGACCUCAAAUCAGGUAG
rnacentral:sRNA from 1 species